GUACUGGCUUCAGCGGCACAUGUGCUCAAAUUGGAAUGCUACAGAGAAGAGUGGCAUGGCCCUGCGCCAGGAUGACACACAAAUCUGUGAGUGUUGUUUCAGGAUAAU